GAAGACUGCAGCGUGAGCACAGAGAGCCUCAGAGCUCCUCAUCACAUCUCAACAGAAUGAUCACUUCUUCCAGAUUAAUCUUCACAACCUUUGUGGGCAAUGAAGCGCAGAUGAAGAUGGCUAAUUCUAACUCCGACUGGUACACAUAAUAAGAUGUCCUGAUGCAGUCACUGGAGAAGCACCAGGUGUAAUCUAAUGUCUCCUGUGCUGGACGAGAAGCACAGAUGACAAUGGCUAAUUCUAACUCUGACUGGUACACAUAAUACGAAGUACAGAUGAAGAUGGCUAAUUCUAACUAUGACUGGUACACCUAAUAAGAUGUCAGAUUACCACUGUAAACUACACAUUGCCAAGUGUAUCAGCCUUUUCGCCGCUGUGGCUUUCAGAUAUCCUGAAGCGGUCACUGGAGAUGCACCAGGUGUAAUCUAAUGUCUCCUGUGCUGGACGAGAAAAGAGGGGGCAAUAAUGGAGAGAAAACAUGAGUAUCAGCUUCAUCUCAUCUCUGAUAAGCACUAGCAGCAGUAAUGGAGAAACAUGUCUGCUUCCUCUUAUCUCUGGAUUUGGCCAGUUGAUUGAUCUGCCUGGUUAUGGGGAAGCCUCGUUGGAAGGUUUUGGAGGAACAUUUGGAGUUCUUUGCCAGAUCUGUGUGAUCAAAGUCUGAUUCAUUAUUAAUAAAAUUUGUUUGCUGUGAAAAUA